rnacentral:misc_RNA from 1 species
AAUCCAAAUUUGUUACUGCCUUGUGGGUUUCCUGAUGAGACUGGAAUUGGAUUGGGCUCCUUACAUGCAAUUUCUGAUGUUAAUUUGCAUUCAGUUCCCUCUUCAAGUUGUGCAGUGCAGCCUACAUUUGACUUCAACAAUCAACAUGAAGCCAAUUUAAAUGUCCAUCCAAAUAAUGUCGCUCUUCAAAACGUCUCCAGUUUUCAGGAGCAUUACAAUUUGGCAUCUGAUCCCUG